rfam:Dichomitus squalens LYAD-421 SS1 unplaced genomic scaffold DICSQscaffold_2, whole genome shotgun sequence.
GACACUAUGGCCGAGUGGUUAAGGCGACAGAUUCGAAUGCUCGAUUAUCUGUUCCGCUCUGCGGGCGCAGGUUCAAAUCCUGCUGGUGUCG